GAUGAACGCUGGCGGCGUGCUUAACACAUGCAAGUCGAACGAGAAAUGUAGACGGAAACCUUCGGGCGGAAGCCUUCAUUUCGAGUGGCGGACGGGUGAGUAACGCGUGGGUAACCUGCCUCAUACAGGGGGAUAACAGUUGGAAACGACUGUUAAUACCGCAUAAGACCACAGCAUCGCAUGAUGCGGGGGUAAAAACUCCGGUGGUAUGAGAUGGACCCGCGUUCGAUUAGCCAGUUGGCGGGGUAACGGCCCACCAAAGCGACGAUCGAUAGCCGAUCUGAGAGGAUGACCGGCCACAUUGGGACUGAGACACGGCCCAAACUCCUACGGGAGGCAGCAGUGGGGAAUAUUGCACAAUGGGGGAAACCCUGAUGCAGCGACGCCGCGUGAGUGAAGAAGUACUUCGGUAUGUAAAGCUCUAUCAGCAGGGAAGAAAAUGACGGUACCUGAGGAAGAAGCCCCGGCUAACUACGUG
rnacentral:rRNA from 1 species